AGAGUUUGAUCCUGGCUCAGGACGAACGCUGGCGGCGUGCCUAACACAUGCAAGUCGAGCGAGGAACUUCGGUUCCUAGCGGCGGACGGGUGAGUAACACGUGGGUAACCUGCCUCAUAGAGGGGGAUAGCCUCCCGAAAGGGAGAUUAAUACCGCAUAAGAAGUAAGAAUCGCAUGGUUCUAGCUUUAAAGGAGCAAUC
rnacentral:rRNA from 1 species